rnacentral:rRNA from 1 species
GACGAACGCUGGCGGCGUGCUUAACACAUGCAAGUCGAACGGAAAGGCCCUGCUUUUGUGGGGUGCUCGAGUGGCGAACGGGUGAGUAACACGUGAGUAACCUGCCCUUGACUUUGUGAUAACUUCAGGAAACUGGGGCUAAUACCGGAUAGGAUCUCCUGCUGCAUGGUGGGGGUUGGAAAGUUUCGGCGGUUGGGGAUGGACUCGCGGCUUAUCAGCUUGUUGGUGGGGUAGUGGCUUACCAAGGCUUUGACGGGUAGCCGGCCUGAGAGGGUGACCGGCCACAUUGGGACUGAGAGACGGACCAGACUCCUACGGGAGGCAGCAGUGGGGAAUAUUGCACAAUGGGCGGAAGCCUGAUGCAGCAACGCCGCGUGCGGGAUGCCGGCCUUCGGGUUGUAAACCGCUUUCGCAUGUGACGAAGCGUGAGUGACGGUAAUGGGUAAAGAAGCAACGGCUAACUACGUG